CAAGAUCAUGACCUGAGUGGAAGUCGGACGCUUAACCAAAUUCAGGCUUGUUUCCGGGAAGAAACCCUGAAAGAAAUUCAGAAGAUCGGGAGCUGCAUUCAGUUAGGACGUGAAGACAUGAAAUGCUUGUCUCAGGACCUCCUAGAAGAAUGAGCUGGGACCCACUUUCCGAGUCCUGCGGGAACCAGAGACUGAGUCUAUGCAAAUCAGAAUCAACCUCCAUCCACGUCCAUCCUUUAUGAGACCUAAGACGUGAUGCAGCUCCCAUGGGCAAUAUCAGUGGUGUCUCUACCAAGGAUGCAGAGAAAGACAAGAUUCAGGCUUGUUUCCGGGAAGAAGCCCUGACAGAAAUUCAGAAGAACAGGAGCUGCAUUCCAUUAGGACUUGAAUACACAAAAUGUUCGUCUCAAGACCUUCUAGAAGAAUGAGCUGGGACCCACUUUCCGAGUCCUGCUGGAACCAGAGACCGAGAUAUUGCCCAGGUGUCUGAAUGCCUGCACUAGGGUACCUACCUCCUUUUUGGAUAGACUGUAUUCCUUUUCCAUGUUUUAGCUGUACCUGUGACACAGGACACGAGAGAACGUGCUCAUGUGAACACAAGUGAAGGACACCGUGGGGACUUGCCACACAGGCAGCCUCUUUGCUUCCAUCCCGUCCAGUCUUGGAUACAGAAAAAUAAUGGACUUCUAUAAGAGUUGCAACACCACGUCGUCUACUAGACAAACAGUGCAGGAGUCAUCCAUGGAAACACCCAUAAAAACACAGGUCAAAUGACCACACCUGUAUUUCAAGGUUGCAAAGACAAGGGCCAUGCAAUGGCACUACAUGUUGAUGGGUAUGAUUCAUUGUACGACGCACUGCUUUCCUACAGAUUAUGACAAUUGACACCACCCCGAGGAAUGUUAGCAUGGACAAAGUUUCCACACAGUCUGGCCACUACUUGAGAUCUGCAAAUGUUUAGAAACUUAAUUGUUUUAUUCUUUCUAAAACUGACCUUUUUUAUCUGUUAAUACUCUAUGCAUAUGUUGACUUUAAACAUUGCAAAAAGAUUAAAAACGAAAAAAUGAA